rnacentral:ribozyme from 14 species
UUUUUUUUUUUUUUUUUUUUUUUUCUCCUCCAAUCAGAGU